UGGGGAAUAUUGGGCAAUGGGCGCAAGCCUGACCCAGCCAUGCCGCGUGAGUGAUGAAGGCCUUCGGGUCGUAAAGCUCUGUGGGGAGGGACGAAACAGCACGGUGCAAAUACCACCGGGUCCUGACGGUACCUCCUUAGCAAGCACCGGCUAACUCCGUGCCAGCAGCCGCGGUAAUACGGAGGGUGCCACCGUUGCUCGGAAUCAUUGGGCGUAAAGCGCACGUAGGCGGCCGGUUAAGUCGGAUGUGAAAGCCCAGGGCUCAACCCUGGAAGUGCAUUCGAAACUGGCGGGCUUGAAUAUGGAAGAGGGUCGCGGAAUUCCCGGUGUAGAGGUGAAAUUCGUAGAUAUCGGGAGGAACACCAGUGGCGAAGGCGGCGACCUGGGCCAAUAUUGACGCUGAGGUGCGAAAGCGUGGGGAGCAAACA
rnacentral:rRNA from 1 species